rnacentral:rRNA from 1 species
GCCGCGGUAAUUCCAGCUCCAAUAGCGUAUAUUAACGUUGUUGCAGUUAAAAAGCUCGUAGUUGAAGUGAGGGAGUGUGUAGUAGGACCGACUUGAUCGGAACUGCUGCAACCUCCCCCCUCCAAUCGGUGUAGUGGGGUAUUCACUUAUUUCACUACUCCUUUGGUCGUUUACUGUGAGAAAAUUAGAGUGUUCAAAGCGGGCGUUUGUUUGAAUAGAUUAGCAUGGAAUAAUGAUUGAAGGCUUUCGUGUUCGAUUUGAUUGGUUUGUUCAUGGAAGCAAGGUUAAAAGGAACAGUUGGGGGUAUUCAUAUUCACUAGUUAGAGGUGAAAUUCUCGGAUUUAUGGAAGAUGAACAGGUGCGAAAGCAUUUACCAAGGAUGUUUUCAUUAAUCAAGAACGAAAG